rnacentral:rRNA from 1 species
GCUCGUAGUUGGAUUUCUGGUUGAUAGUUUAGGUCCGGCCGAUCAAAAGGCUGAGUAUCUUUCGCUAUCUGCCAUCCUAUUGUGGAUUCUGGAGCAAUCCAGGGUUUACAAUACAUUUACUUUGAAAAAAUUAGAGUGUUUAAAGCAAGCUUGCGCGAUGAAUACAUUAGCAUGGAAUAAUAAUAUAGGACUACGGGCCUAUUUUGUUGGUUUCUAGACCUGAAGUAAUGAUUGAUAGGGACAGUUGGGGGUGCUAGUAUUGAGAGGCCAGAGGUGAAAUUCUUGGAUUCUCUCAAGACUAACUUAUGCGAAAGCAUCACCCAAGGAUGUCUUCUUUAAUCAAGAACGAAAAGUUGGGGGGAUCGAAGACGAUCAGAUACCCGUCGUAGUCUCAACCAUAAAACUAUACCGACUCCAGGAUGCGUGAUCGUUGUUUUAUUGACUUCAUGCGCACUGUAUGAGAAAACAAAGGCUUUGGGGUCCUGGGGGGAGUAUGGUCGCAAGGCUGAAACUUAAAGGAAUUGACGGAAGGGCACCACCAGGAGGGGGAGCCUGCGCUUAAAUUUGACUCAA